rnacentral:rRNA from 1 species
UGAUCCUGCCGGACCCCACUGCUAUCGGGAUAGGACAAAGACAUGCUAGUCGAGUGAUUCAGGCAAAACGAGUCACGGCACACAGCUCAGUAACACGUGGCUAAUCUGCCCUUGGGACGUGAACAACCCCGGGAAACUGGGGCUAAUUCACGAUAGGCAAAGAACUCUGGAAUGAGUCUUUACCUAAAUAAUGCAACGUUAUCCUCGUUGCCUCGCCCAAGGAUGAGGCCGCGGCCGAUCAGGUUGUUGGUGAGGUAAUGGCUCACCAAGCCUUUUACCGGUGCGGGCCGUGGGAGCGGGAGCCCGGAGAUGGGUACUGAGACAAGGACCCAGGCCCUACGGGGCGCAGCAGUCGCGAAAACUUUGCAAUACACGAAAGUGUGACAGGGCUAUCCCGAGUGCCAUCCGCUGAGGAAGGCUUUUACCCAGUCUAGAACGCUGGGGGAAUAAGGAGAGGGCAAGUCUGGUGUCAGCCGCCGCGGUAAUACCAGCUCUUCGAGUGGUGUGGAUGUUUAUUGGGCCUAAAGCAUCCGUAGCUGGCUAAGUUAGUCCCUUGUUAAAUCCACCGAAUUAAUCGUUGGAUCGCGGGGGAUACUGCUUGGCUAGGGGACGAGAGAGGCAGACGGUAUUUUCGGGGUAGGGGUGAAAUCCUAUAAUCCCGGGAAGACCACCAGUGGCGAAGGCUGUCUGCUAGAACGCGCCCGACGGUGAGGGAUGAAAGCUGGGGGAGCGAACCGGAUUAGAUACCCGGGUAGUCCCAGCUGUAAACGAUGCAGCUAGGUGUUUGGACGGCCACGUGCCGUUCUAGUG